rnacentral:rRNA from 1 species
GAUGAACGCUGACAGAAUGCUUAACACAUGCAAGUCAACUUGAAUUUGGGUUUUUAACUUAGGUUUGGGUGGCGGACGGGUGAGUAACGCGUAAAGAACUUGCCUCACAGCUAGGGACAACAUUUGGAAACGAAUGCUAAUACCUAAUAUUAUGAUAAUAGGGCAUCCUAUAAUUAUGAAAGCUAUAAGCGCUGUGAGAGAGCUUUGCGUCCCAUUAGCUAGUUGGAGAGGUAACGGCUCACCAAGGCGAUGAUGGGUAGCCGGCCUGAGAGGGCGAUCGGCCACAAGGGGACUGAGACACGGCCCUUACUCCUACGGGAGGCAGCAGUGGGGAAUAUUGGACAAUGGACCGAGAGUCUGAUCCAGCAAUUCUGUGUGCACGAUGAAGUUUUUCGGAAUGUAAAGUGCUUUCAGUUGGGAAGAAACAAAUGACGGUACCAACAGAAGAAGUGACGGCUAAAUACGUG